UUAUUGUGACAUGUAUGAUUGUUACAAUAGAAAUCAUUCAGCUUCAUGUUAUAACUGCAUGGAAGCUGUUUGUUGCGUCUUAUACUUUAAUUCAUAAACUCAACCUGGUUUUAAUUAAGCUCCAUAAGACAAAGAGACUUUGAUAUUGUGAUGUUGUUUUUCUAACUCGUUCAUCAAUGUUUUUAUCUUCAACAUAUGUUUGCAGUCUAAGCAAAUGAAGAUGAAGGAGGAAGCCAGAGAAAUCAGGUGUUAGGAAACUAAAGACUUUCCUGUCUGAGAAGAGGCUCUGACUCCACCAGAUCACCAACCAGCUCUGAAGAUGAACCUUCACAUCGUCUUCAUGAUGGCCCUGUGAUGGACUGGUGACCUGUCCAGGAUCCUCUCAUCUAAUGGCUGCUGGAGAUGGGCACCACUAGCCCCCCUCGCUACCCUGCAAGGAUCAGUGUGUUCACAUCAUGGAUGGAAAGAUUUUAAGGCAAAGAAGACACCCA